GCCCGCGAUGCUGCCAUGACUUCCCUGCAGCAGAAAGACACGUCAUACAGAGAGCUAAUUGGACACACCCCCUCUAGGACUCAUUUCUCAGGGCGCAAGUCGCAAGUACUGUGGUCAGAGAAGAACCCGAAGCCAUUCACUCUGCCUCCCCUCCAACAAGCCAAAGGCCACAGCAGAAGCAAAAUGAAGACUCCGUCUAGUAUCCAGCCAGCGGUGCAGUCCCAGACCUCUGUAGAGAUGGCAAAUGUAGACAAGAAUCUACGAGGACUGCAAAAAAGGGAUCAAUUGCACCAUGGGAAGAUGCAGGCCAAGGUUCGGCUGAUGCGGCUGAUGCUUCGAAACCAGCGGACCUCACUGCAGGAGCUCUCCAGCCACGAGGAAUUCCUCAGCAAGCUCAACCAGGAGCUCAUCAAUUCCAUUCAGGACAUGGAGGACAGCAUGGCCUUGAAUGUUCGGGAAAUGCUGCAGCAGCAGGGCAUUCUCCGGAAUGUCAUCGACAUCUUGGAGUACUCGAACAAGAAGCGGGUGCAGCAGCUGAGGUCUGAGCUCCAGGAGUGGAAAGAAAAGGAGGAGAGCAAAAUAAACAGCCUGCAGCAGGAGUUGGAGCAGCUGAACGCUGAGAUCCAGAAGGCCCACGAGGAGGUGAGUUUCCUGAGCACCUACAUGGACCACGAGUAUCCUGUCAGGUUGGUACAGAUCGCCAAUCACAAACGCCAGGUGCAGCAGGCCAAGGACAGCCAGCAGGAUGAGCUGGACAACCUCAAAGAGAUGCGUCAAAUGGUCCUGGGGAAAUUUUCCAACAUGAUUCAGGAGAAGAAGAAGAAAAUCCUGAGAUCUCUGAUGGCGAAAAUCCAGAAACCCUAUGAGAAGAUACUCAUGCUGAAGACCCAGGACAGCAAGCGUCUGCAGAGGUGCACGGUCUGGUUCAGGGAGCUUAUCCAGCAGCUGAAGGAAGAAAUACCUGUGUUACUUGCGGAGGUGGAGCAAAUGUACGCAGAGGUCUGGGACCCCCGGGAGGUCGUUUUUAAGGAUAUUCUACUUCAGAGACCCAACCUCUCCCUGAGACUCUGAGGCCACAUGCCUGGUUGGGAGCAGUGGUUAGAUGCUCAGCCGAGGGCUCCGUGACCCUCCCACCUGCCUCCUUCUGUGAGGGGAUGUCAUCAAUCGACAGAGUGCACCCCAGACAUGGCUGUUGAGCUCAACAUUCCUGUGCAAGAGUCACUCCCCUUCUAGAUGGAAGUGCCUGGCUACCUCUCCUUUCUCCUCUUCCCAGCACAGGGGUUUGGCUGGUUUACCUGUAAGACAAUGUCUCCAUUUUGAAUCUGGCCCACAGCCCCUCCUCUACACGUCUCCCUUGCUGCUCGGACCAGGCAGAUAUGCCCAGUCCUUGCUGCCAAUAAAUCUGGGUUUGUGUUU